GACGAACGCUGGCUGCGUGCUUAACACAUGCAAGUCGAACGGAAAGGCCCUGCUUUUGUGGGGUGCUCGAGUGGCGAACGGGUGAGUAACACGUGAGUAACCUGCCCUUGACUUUGGGAUAACUUCAGGAAACUGGGGCUAAUACCGGAUAGGAGCUCCUGCUGCAUGGUGGGGGUUGGAAAGUUUCGGCGGUUGGGGAUGGACUCGCGGCUUAUCAGCUUGUUGGUGGGGUAGUGGCUUACCAAGGCUUUGACGGGUAGCCGGCCUGAGAGGGUGACCGGCCACAUUGGGACUGAGAUACGGCCCAGACUCCUACGGGAGGCAGCAGUGGGGAAUAUUGCACAAUGGGCGGAAGCCUGAUGCAGCAACGCCGCGUGCGGGAUGACGGCCUUCGGGUUGUAAACCGCUUUCGCCCGUGACGAAGCGUGAGUGACGGUAAUGGGUAAAGAAGCACCGGCUAACUACGUGCCAGCAGCCGCGGUGAUACGUAGGGUGCGAGCGUUGUCCGGAUUUAUUGGGCGUAAAGGGCUCGUAGGUGGUUGAUCGCGUCGGAAGUGUAAUCUUGGGGCUUAACCCUGAGCGUGCUUUCGAUACGGGUUGACUUGAGGAAGGUAGGGGAGAAUGGAAUUCCUGGUGGAGCGGUGGAAUGCGCAGAUAUCAGGAGGAACACCAGUGGCGAAGGCGGUUCUCUGGGCCUUUCCUGACGCUGAGGAGCGAAAGCGUGGGGAGCGAACAGGCUUAGAUACCCUGGUAGUCCACGCUGUAAACGGUGGGUACUAGGUGUGGGGUCCAUUCCACGGGUUCCGUGCCGUAGCUAACGCUUUAAGUACCCCGCCUGGGGAGUACGGCCGCAAGGCUAAAACUCAAAGGAAUUGACGGGACCCCGCACAAGCGGCGGAGCAUGCGGAUUAAUUCGAUGCAACGCGUAGAACCUUACCUGGGUUUGACAUGGAUCGGGAGUGCUCAGAGAUGGGUGUGCCUCUUUUGGGGUCGGUUCACAGGUGGUGCAUGGCUGUCGUCAGCUCGUGUCGUGAGAUGUUGGGUUAAGUCCCGCAACGAGCGCAACCCUUGUUCACUGUUGCCAGCACGUUAUGGUGGGGACUCAGUGGAGACCGCCGGGGUCAACUCGGAGGAAGGUGGGGAUGACGUCAAGUCAUCAUGCCCCUUAUGUCCAGGGCUUCACGCAUGCUACAAUGGCUGGUACAGAGAGUGGCGAGCCUGUGAGGGUGAGCGAAUCUCGGAAAGCCGGUCUCAGUUCGGAUUGGGGUCUGCAACUCGACCUCAUGAAGUCGGAGUCGCUAGUAAUCGCAGAUCAGCAACGCUGCGGUGAAUACGUUCCCGGG
rnacentral:rRNA from 1 species